ensembl:lncRNA
AGAAGGAUAGUAAAGAUGGCUGACUGAACACAUCAGUGGAGAUCAACUCAAGAUAAAAACAUAAUAUUCAAUAUCAGUAAAUUAAACUAAAUAUUAGCACUUCACAAACUGAUGGGUUAAAACCAAAACAAAUCAUAAGGCUGGAGAAAUUAGCGACAAAUAUUACGAAAACAAGCUACACCCAAACACGACGGUGAGUUAAACAGGGGAACCAAUCCUGAAAAGAAAACGCGCCUCUUCGACAGACAAAGACAAUUUAAUAUUUUCAUCACCGGGAAUGUAUCCAAGGAAACGUGGGAGAUUAACCUGAGGCUGUGUUGGGGACAUGUUUGGAUGACAGCCAUUGCCCAAUCAGUGAUAAAGCAGAAACACACCCAUGUUCACCAUGUCUGUGAACUGAAAGAUGUCUGAAAGAAUAAGCAGCAAGAAGAAGAGUAAGUUCCCACGUCCAGGGGAAAUAUAUUCCGUAAGGC